rnacentral:rRNA from 1 species
UGGGGAAUCUUCCGCAAUGGACGAAAGUCUGACGGAGCAACGCCGCGUGAGUGAAGAAGGUUUUCGGAUCGUAAAACUCUGUCUUUUGGGGCGAACGUGAGUAUGGUGAACAAUCAUAGUCAGUGACGGUACCAAAGGAGGAAGCCACGGCUAACUACGUGCCAGCAGCCGCGGUAAUACGUAGGUGGCAAGCGUUGUCCGGAAUUAUUGGGCGUAAAGAGCGCGUAGGCGGGAUAGUCAGUCUGUUGUAAAGUGCGGGGCUCAACCCCGUGAUCGCAAUGGAAACAGCUAUUCUUGAGUGCAGGAGAGGAAAGUGGAAUUCCCAGUGUAGCGGUGAAAUGCGUAGAUAUUGGGAGGAACACCAGUGGCGAAGGCGACUUUCUGGACUGUGUCUGACGCUGAGGCGCGAAAGCCAGGGGAGCGAACGGGAUUAGAUACCCCGGUAGUCCUGGCCGUAAACGAUGGGUACUAGGUGUGGGAGGUAUCGACCCCCUUCCGUGCCGGAGUUAACGCAAUAAGUACCCCCGCCUGGGGAGUACGGUCGCAAGACUGAAACUCAAAGGAAUUGAC